UGAAGUGUACCUUUCUCGGGGGGGUUGCAUUUUUCCUCUUGGUGAAUGGCUGUGUCAGUGUUUACAUAUGUAUUAUUACAUUUGGUUGUAGACGAUUGAGUGAAUCAUUAGGGCCUUUUUUUUUGUCCUUUACCAUGAAUUUUUAGUGUACUCCUCUUAAGUAUAUUUACCUUUCUGUGACUCAUCAGUGUCUAUAAACAUUUAAGCGGAAAAAUUCUUUAAAUACAUUUGAAUUU
rnacentral:lncRNA from 1 species